rnacentral:lncRNA from 1 species
CCAGGCCACUGAGCAGGCCAGAUCGGACACUUCUGAAAAGGGCAGGUUUUGAAACAGUGUGCAUCAAACUCUGUUGGAAUGAACUCUGUCCAUAUUUCUCCUUUGCUGAAGUACAGAAUCCAGAAGCUGAAGUAGGCAGACGCUCUUGGAUAAGAUUAAGAUAGCUUCAUAAUGGCUGCAAGCUCGGGCCCAGUAGUAACGGAGGUGAAAUACACAUUGGAGAUGGAAAAGGAAGAUUCUAAGCAGAUUGUGGUCUCUCAACCCAAACUACACCACGUUUCUAUCAUUACUUGUUUAUCAGCAUUUCAUUUGGUUAGACAGGAGUGAAGAAAACAGAAGAUUGGUGUUAACAUCUGUAGACAAGUGAACAGAUUACAGAUGAUGAAAAGUUCUAUUGACAUUUCAAGUGACACAUCAAGCACCACCUAGAAUUCAUGGUCUGUAGUGGAGAAAUGUACAUUUCUGCCUCCAGAGUUGUGUGGUUUAAUUGCAGUUAUUUGCAACAGAAAUUUGCAAUCAUCCAGUUUACUGUGUUUUCUGCAACUGUACACUUGCCCUCUUCAGUGGUGGAAUUGACAGUGUGUGCCACUAUAUGUUCCUAAUGUCUCAUAUAACAUUGAAGAAAACAUGCCAUUAUU